GACGAACGCUGGCGGCGUGCUUAACACAUGCAAGUCGAACGGAAAGGCCCUGCUUUUGUGGGGUGCUCGAGUGGCGAACGGGUGAGUAACACGUGAGUAACAUGCCCUUGACUUUGGGAUAACUUCAGGAAACUGGGGCUCAUACCGGAUAGGAGCUCCUGCUGCAUGGUGGGGGUUGGAAAGUUUCGGCGGUUGGGGAUGGACUCGCGGCUUAUCCGCUUGAUGGUGGGGUAGUGGCUUACCAAGGCUUUGACGGGUAGCCGGCCUGAGAGGGUGACCGGCCACAUUGGGACUGAGAUACGGCCCAGACUCCUACGGGAGGCAGCAGUGGGGAAUAUUGCACAAUGGGCGGAAGCCUGAGGCAGCAACGCCGCGUGCGGGAUGACGGCCUUCGGGUUGUAAACCGCUGUCGCCUGUGACGAAGCGUGAGUGACGGUAAUGGGUAAAGAAGCACCGGCUAACUACGUG
rnacentral:rRNA from 1 species